UUGUUCUCUAUAAUCCUGAUUAAAUGGGGGUUAAUGUGUGUCUGUUAUACUUUUUCACAGACUCUUCAGCCGUGACCUUCUACAACUACAGAGGCUGCACAGAUGAACUGGCUUAUGAGACGUGAUUAGAGGGAGAGAGAGGCAGCGAGACGAGGCCGCGGCACAGAAUCCAGUUCCAUCAUCAUUAUUCUGCCGCAUCCCCUGAGGAGAGAGACAGAGCUGAGGCCGGGGCCGGGGCCGGACCGGGCUGGGGGAGAAAACACUGUAGAACCAGAACGCCAGGACCUGGGAAUGCACACAAGUGAUAUUUGGGUCUUUUCAUCAGUGCCUGUUGCCUGAGGCCACUGCUGAUUGACAGCCAAACUUUAGAAAAGAGCAAGCAGGAAAAAAGGGGAGAUCUGGUGGUGUUGGAGAUGUGAGUGGUGUGAAGCUGGGGAGAAC